rnacentral:rRNA from 1 species
GAUGAACGCUGGCGGCGUGCCUAAUACAUGCAAGUCGAGCGAACAGACGAGGAGCUUGCUCCUCUGACGUUAGCGGCGGACGGGUGAGUAACACGUGGAUAACCUACCUAUAAGACUGGGAUAACUUCGGGAAACCGGAGCUAAUACCGGAUAAUAUAUUGAACCGCAUGGUUCAAUAGUGAAAGACGGUUUUGCUGUCACUUAUAGAUGGAUCCGCGCCGCAUUAGCUAGUUGGUAAGGUAACGGCUUACCAAGGCGACGAUGCGUAGCCGACCUGAGAGGGUGAUCGGCCACACUGGAACUGAGACACGGUCCAGACUCCUACGGGAGGCAGCAGUAGGGAAUCUUCCGCAGUGGGCGAAAGCCUGACGGAGCAACGCCGCGUGAGUGAUGAAGGUCUUCGGAUCGUAAAACUCUGUUAUUAGGGAAGAACAAAUGUGUAAGUAACUAUGCACGUCUUGACGGUACCUAAGCAGAAAGCCACGGCUAACUACGU